rnacentral:rRNA from 1 species
AUUGAACGCUGGCGGCAGGCCUAACACAUGCAAGUCGAGCGGAAGAAGGGUGCUUGCUCCUGGUUUCAGCGGCGGACGGGUGGGUAAUGCCUAGGAAUCUCCCUGUUUGUUGUGUAUUACGUCCGGAAAUGGGCGCUCAUACCGCAUACGUGCUGAGGGCGUACGUGGGGGAUCUUCGGACCUCACGCUCUCAGGUGAGCCUAGGUCGGAUUAGCUAGUUGGUGGGGUAAAGGCCUACCAAGGCGACGAUCCGUAACUGGUCUGAGAGGAUGAUCAGUCACACUGGAACUGAGACACGGUCCAGACUCCUACGGGAGGCAGCAGUGGGGAAUAUUGGACAAUGGGCGAAAGCCUGAUCCAGCCAUGCCGCGUGUGUGAAGAAGGUCUUCGGAUUGUAAAGCACUUUUAGUGGGGAGGAAGGGCAGUAGGUUAAUACCUUGCUGUUUUGACGGUACCAAAAGAAUAAGCACCGGCUAACUUCGUG